rnacentral:lncRNA from 1 species
UUGGAAUAAAUGGCUAUAGUUUUAAAGGGGACCUAGAGAGGGUUCAAGGAGUGGCUUUUUUCCUUUGGAAAUGUUCCAGCGAGUAUAUGGAACCUUGGGGUGGAGGGAUGGGAGGGUUGAUUUUAACUACCUUUUCCUGGGGGCUUUUCAUUGGUUUGUCCCCACUACUACUUGCCAACCAACUCUGUAAGCUGCCUAAGCUUUUUAGAAGACUACAAAGAACUUUCAUAUAUUCUGCAAUCAAGAAUAUAUGAAUAAAAUUUAUGAACAUGUGAAUAGAAAUAUAAAAUAUAUGAAUAUAAAAUUUAUAGAUAUAUGAAUUUGAAGCUUAUGAUUUAAAGAUUUUAAAUACUUGCUCAAUUUACUUAAAGCAUGUCUUUGCCCGAAUCUCCCUAUUAUAGCGUCUGAUGGGCACCUGCAGUGGGUUACUCAAGUAUUAGCUUGCAUCUCCUAUUAAAAGAAAAGGACGCAUCUUAAAAUAGCUUCCAUGCAGUUAUCAGGAACAGGAAGCUAAUCCCAUGUGCCCUCUGUCUACUCAAAAUGCAGAUUCCACGGCUGGUGGAGCAUGGCCACCUAGGGCCUGUGUUGAACUUCCUUGUUCCAGUUCCCCAUUGACUUCCAGUCUGGGCUGCUCUCUUUCCUCAUUUUGAAGGAUUGUGAUAUUUUAAAAGUCUAGUUACUUUUAGAACAUGUAUUAGCUCAUCUGUUCCCCACAUGAGCUCCUGUUUCCCCGGCAAGAAUAAAGCAGAAGUGGGCUGUGUCCUCAGAUGGUAUCAGUCAGCCUGAUGUCUUACUACGGGUAGUAUACACCCGGGAUGGCUGAGAUGUUGUCUGCAAUGUUUCUCCACUGUCAAGUUAAUGUCAGGGUAUUUUGUGCUUUUAAGCACCCUGUGGGAGAAAUGGUGAGACUAUGUAAGAAUCGCUGUAGCUCGUCCUCGGUGCUCACCCACCGCUGGUCCCUGCCUCGUCAGAGGGUUGCUGCUCUGACCAGUCACCACGGGGUGAUGUCCCUGUUUCCAUCACCUCUGGCAUUUAGUGAAUCAUCUCCCAUGGGAAGGCAGAAAGUCCCUUUCCCACAUUAUACAUUAUUUUAUCAGUCUAGAUGACCAUUUUGCUCAACAGAUUGUAAUCUGUUAACACCCCAUAUAUAAUUGUCAAGUUGGUCCUACUCCGGCCUUCAGAAGCCCGUCAUUUAUCCUUUUGAGGUGCGCCCCCCAGUCUCUGUACUUUUGGACCCAUGAUGUCCCAGGUUUAUGUUGCCCUGUCUCAGUUUAGAUUCAGGCUUUUAAAAAAGGAACCCUUUAGUGGUCAAUAUUUCAAAACGCAGACUUGGGCUGUGGGGGUCAGGCGGUUAUUCCCACAAAGGUAUGUCCUGACCUUACAGACACUGGGAAACAUACCCAUUCAUGUGUUCCGUUUAUUUAUGUGAACAUAUAUGUGUACGUCUGCCCCGUGUCUCUCUGUCUAUAUCAUGUGUUGGUUUGGUACAACCCAAGAGUCAGAUCCAGUUGCUGCUGUGGACCAGGAGAGACUGAGUUGACCCUUGGUUCUCACUUCCAGUUAAUCUGGAAGACGUCUUUCCAUGGCUUUCAAAGAUGUAAAGAUCCUCCACCCCCCACCAACAACUGGGUGCCCUCAAACCAGUUAAUGUUGUCCACCUGGAGAUAGUAUCAGAUCCCAGAAGCUGAAGGCUUGGUUCCCAAGGCUACCCCAAGAGGUUUACCUAGGCUUGUGAAAUGCAUCUACAGAUCAGGGUUCUUAUAACCCCCAGUCAAGUUCAGUUAAUUUCCUUGAGUGGCUGCCAGAACUUAGAGAAACACCUAUCCGCCUAUUAUAAAGGCCACUGUAAGGGCCACAGGUGAGGAAGUCCUUAGGGUUGGGAUUUGGAGACUGGGCUCUUAGCCCUCUCUGGGCGUGCCGCACUCCAGGAACCUCCUGUAUCCAGGAAUGCAGCAACCCUGAACUUGUCCUUUGAGGUAUGUGAGUCUCCACUGCAUAGACAUGGUGCAACAGGAAAUGUGACUAGACAGGAAGGGUCUGAGCAAAGCCCAGACAUCCUGCAGCUUCAAGAUCCUCUCUCUGUGCAGCAUCCCUCCCUUGGGGUACAGGACAGGUCCCCUCUGGAAUAAGUAGGGUCAUAGGACCUACUAUCAGGUGAGAUAGGUCAGAGAAUUUCGUUAAGGCCAGCUCCAAGACAGUUUAUUCCUUCCUGGUAUACAUUACAUUUAAUACAUCAAGAUGCCUAGGUUUUCUGCAGGCAUUUGCUUGGCCUGUAUUGAGCCUAGAAUGAACUUCACCUCCCAGGGUUAUUACCUUUCAUAUACAUGGGAACUGUAAGCUUUCUAUUCCCAUAAGUGCCUUGUUUCUCCUGUGCUCUUCUUCCUAAGACAAUCUCGGCCUCUUCAACCUCUAUUCCUGGCUCCCUGACAUAAUGAUCAAGUCAUAAGCUUGCUCUCCGAUACAGCAAUACCUCAGCUUCCUGUAUACAAUGUAUAUGCUUUGGGGAGGGCUCUAAUAGAGAUGUAUCAUGUUGCUCUCUGAUACAGCAAUACCUCAGCUUCCUGUAUACAAUGUAUAUGCUCUGGGGAGGGCUCUAAUAGAGAUGUAUCAUGUUGCUCUCUGAUACAGCAAUACCUCAGCUUCCUGUAUACAAUGUAUAUGCUCUGGGGAGGGCUCUAAUAGAGAUGUAUCAUGUUGAGUACAUAUGAAGAAGCACUUAUACUUUCUCUUCAUUCUUUCUUUGCU